UACGUAGGUGGCAAGCGUUAAUCGGAAUUACUGGGCGUAAAGCGUGCGCAGGCGGUUAUGUAAGACAGAUGUGAAAUGCCCGGGCUUAACCUGGGAACUGCAUUUGUGACUGCAUGGCUAGAGUUUGGCAGAGGGGGGUAGAAUUCCACGUGUAGCAGUGAAAUGCGUAGAUAUGUGGAGGAACACCGAUGGCGAAGGCAGCCCCCUGGGUCAAGACUGACGCUCAUGCACGAAAGCGUGGGGAGCAAACAGG
rnacentral:rRNA from 1 species